rnacentral:rRNA from 1 species
GGUUUAAUUCGAAGCAACGCGAAGAACCUUACCAAGUCUUGACAUCCCACUGACCGGACAGUAAUGUGUCCUUUCCUUCGGGACAGUGGAGACAGGUGGUGCAUGGUUGUCGUCAGCUCGUGUCGUGAGAUGUUGGGUUAAGUCCCGCAACGAGCGCAACCCCUAUCCUUAGUAGCCAGCAGUAAGAUGGGCACUCUAGGGAGACUGCCAGGGAUAACCUGGA